rnacentral:rRNA from 1 species
AUACGUAGGGUGCGAGCGUUAAUCGGAAUUACUGGGCGUAAAGCGUGCGCAGGUGGUUUUGUAAGUCAGAUGUGAAAUCCCCGGGCUUAACCUGGGAACUGCGUUUGAAACUGCAAGGCUAGAGUGUGGCAGAGGGGGGUGGAAUUCCGCGUGUAGCAGUGAAAUGCGUAGAGAUGUGGAGGAACACCGAUGGCGAAGGCAGCCCCCUGGGUCAGCACUGACGCUCAGGCACGAAAGCAUGGGGAGCAAACAGGAUUAGAAACCCCAGUAGUCC